rfam:Microgenomates (Curtissbacteria) bacterium GW2011_GWC2_38_9 TT12_C0011, whole genome shotgun sequence.
GAGGUCGUAGCUCAAUUGGUUAGAGCGGCAGCUUGUGGAGCUGCGGGUUGGGGGUUCAAGUCCCCUCGGCCUCC